UACGUAGGGUGCGAGCGUUAAUCGGAAUUACUGGGCGUAAAGCGCACGUAGGCGGAUUUGUAAGUCAGGGGUGAAAUCCCGGGGCUCAACCUCGGAACUGCCUUUGAUACUGCAAGUCUUGAGUCCGGAAGAGGUGAGUGGAAUUCCUAGUGUAGAGGUGAAAUUCGUAGAUAUUAGGAAGAACACCAGUGGCGAAGGCGGCUCACUGGUCCGGUACUGACGCUGAGGUGCGAAAGCGUGGGGAGCAAACAGGG
rnacentral:rRNA from 1 species